UACAGAGGGUGCAAGCGUUGUUCGGAAUUAUUGGGCGUAAAGGGCGCGUAGGCGGUGCGGUAAGUCUGGAGUGAAAUCUCUGGGCUCAACCCAGAGUCUGCUGCAGAAACUGCCGUGCUGGAGUGUGGGAGAGGUGCGUGGAAUUCCUGGUGUAGCGGUGAAAUGCGUAGAUAUCAGGAGGAACACCUGUGGCGAAAGCGGCGCACUGGACCACAACUGACGCUGAGGCGCGAAAGCUAGGGGAGCAAACAGG
rnacentral:rRNA from 1 species